rnacentral:rRNA from 1 species
GCUGUCUAAGAUAGCCAUGCAUGUCUAAGUAUAAGUAUUAUACAGCGAAACUGCGAAUGGCUCAUUAAAACAGUUAUAGUUUAUUUGAUAAUCGAAUUUACAUGGAUAACCGUGGUAAUUCUAGAGCUAAUACAUGCUGGUGUGCCCGACUUUUGUGGAAGGGCGGUAUUUAUUAGAUAACAAGCCAAUAUUCCUCUGGUCUAUUGUGGUGACUCAUAAUAACUGAUCGAAUCGCAAGGCCUAUGGCCGCGGUAAGUCAUUCAAGUUUCUGCCCCAUCAGCUUUCGAUGGUAGUGUAUUGGACUACCAUGGCGUUUACGGGUAACGGAGGAUUAGGGUUCGAUUCCGGAGAGGGAGCCUGAGAAACGGCUACCACAUCUAAGGAAGGCAGCAGGCGCGUAAAUUACCCAAUCCUGACUCAGGGAGGUAGUGACAAGAAAUAACGGACCGGGGCCUUACGGCUUCGGGAUUGCAAUGAGCCGAAUUUACACCCCUUAGCGA